rnacentral:rRNA from 1 species
GAUGAACGAUGGCGGCGUGCCUAAUACAUGCAAGUCGAGCGAACGGACGAGAAGCUUGCUUCUCUGAUGUUAGCGGCGGACGGGUGAGUAAAACGUGGAUAACCUACCUAUAAGACUGGGAUAACUUCGGGAAACAGGAGCUAAUACCGGAUAAUAUUUUGAACCGCAUGGUUCAAAAGUGAAAGACGGUCUUGCUGUCACGUAUAGAUGGAUCCGCGCUGCAUUAGCUAGUUGGUAAGGUAACGGCUUACCAAGGCAACGAUGCAUAGCCGACCUGAGAGCGUGAUCGGCCACACUGGAACUGAGACACGGUCCAGACUCCUACGGUAGGCAGCAGUAGGGAAUCUUCCGCAAUGGGCGAAAGCCUGACGGAGCAACGCCGCGUGAGUGAUGAAGGUCUUCGGAUCGUAAAACUCUGUUAUUAGGGAAGAACAUACGUGUAAGUAACUGUGCACAUCUUGACGGUACCUAAUCAGAAAGCCACGGCUAACUACGUG